rnacentral:lncRNA from 1 species
AUGCUAAUUGGAAACCACAAAGCUCUGAGAGUCUCUGAGGCAGUGCUGGGCCCAAAGCUUGUUUUCAGAAGAGUGAAAAUGGAUUUUCCUACUGCUUUCCAAGUACAGUUACCAGCAACGCCACAGAGUUUUAUCAGUGCCGUGUUUCAUUCCACAGUCCUUCAGUUGUUCUCAUCUGCACAUUCCUGGGAUUUAAAAGCAAAUUAACAAAAUGAAACACUCUUCCUACAAAAAAGAAGAGGAGCUUGCUCCAAAGGCAUCAACCAAUAUAUGUGAGUUUUAAAUACAGACUCUGACCCUGCUACCAGAAAUCUGUGUAAAGUUAAGUUUCCUUUAUUUCUGCUCACCUGGAUAAAAAAACAAAACAAAACAAAAAAACAAAACAAAACAAAAAAAAAAAAAAACCAAAAGAAAAACCCAAAAAACUAUAGUUCCUUUUCUCUUGUAUUUAUCUCUGUUCAACAUUUGACAUAUAAAAAAUUGAUAUAAUUUCUUUAGUGGGUAGACUGAAAAAAAUAUACUUCCUAUCUUCCUUACAAAUUCUCAAGAAGCGAAAAUGUUACAGGUAUGUUUUAUUUUGACUUAUCCCUUUGCUAUGAUGGUGCCUUUUUCUGAGGAGAUUCUGCACUGUUUUCAUCAUUUGGGCUGGUGGGUUCGAAAGUGAAGUGUUUCUAUAAGCACCGCAUCAGUACUGAAAAGUUUGAGAACUGUUACAGAACUCUCCAAAUGUCCUUGCUAUACUGAGUAAAAGUAAUUGAAUCUUUGCUUUUCAUUAUAUCCACCCGAAAGGUUUGAAUAGAAACUAUGUCAAUCCACUUUUCCUCUCAGCUUUUCUGUGCCUACUGGAGGAAUUAUCACCUGGAUGUCAGCGACCUGAUUAAUUAUUCAAUAACAUUUUAAAAUCAAAGAAAUUUUGAUUGUAAAAGCACCUUCAUUUGCAGCAAUAAUUAAUUCUUUCAGAUGUCUUCAAUGUGCCCUCGUAAACUGAUACUGAGUAAAAGUCAUUGAAUAUCCCUUGCAUAUUUAAGAGCCCAAAGUUUCCUCCUGCACAGGCUGAGAAUUUUUCUGCUCAAUUCUAGUUCCCUUUGCGUGUCAUCUGCAGGUGUUGUAUAGAAUCUUCAAAACAACCUUCCAAAACUGUGAGAUUGAAGUAAGCAUUUCACCAAGCACUGGCAAUAUUGGAAACAUUCUCUGUGAAAUUAUGUUCUUGCAUUAAAGUCUGGGUGAAAUGUUAGUGAUUUUAGAUCUUGAGUUGUUCUUUAAGUUGACAGAAUUGUUAAAAAACUCUAAGUGUAGGAAAAGUAAAACUAUUAAAAGAAAACCUGUUUACCAGUCUUGCAACAUUUUUAGUAAUUCUUAUUUAUAAGAAAAUGUAUCUCUUAUGCAGCUAGGAUGUUCUCUUGUGUAGGAUGAAAUGGAUUUAUUUCAGGCUGCAUAGGUAGUUUUCUUGACCAUGUUAAGCGAUGGAAAAUGUACAAGAGAGUUUGUUUUCCUUGUUUGAAUUCCGUGUAAGUAAAUCUCUGGGCAUUUGACUACCAGAAUGAAAAGCUUGUUCAGAAGAAGUCAAUUUGCCUCCAAGAGAAGAUAGCGCAAACUAAGAGGAGGCUUUGCAGCUGUACACCAAAAUAUUAAUGUUAAAAGGAUAUACCUUUACUGAGGAGUUGCCUUUCAAUAGUGGUCUUCUUCUUUCUGCCUUCUGCCACAAAUACCAACUCCCCACUUCAGGAACUUACAGAAAACUGGUAGUAGACACUGGAUGGCUGUGAAUCACUGCAGUGAUGUGGUUCUACUCUAAUUUGUGGCCAAACAAAUGGAGGACAGUUCUAGGCAGCUUUUUAAAGAUUCAGCAAAGCAAAGGAAAGUGAUUGAGUUCAGCAGUUUUCUUGUUCCUGUCUCACAAGGAAUGUGUGUUCAUGAUGCUUGCUAGGCAUGACAAGGAAAACUAAAUCUGUUGGCAGAAAGCUAAAAGUCCCGGUAAAAAUUAUUCUCUCUAUGAAGAAGACAUAGAGUAUUGGCAGCUGAAGACUGUUAUAACUACUGCUAAGGCAUUGGUGAUCCUUCAUGGCAAAUAGAGAAUUAGUUACUAAAUUGUGAUCAGAAGGUAGGAAGAAUUCACUAUCAAAGUGGAAGAUUAUGAAUUGUAGGGUAGACACUUUUGAGUUAAACACCAUAGAGAUGGACAUGUGAUCAGAAAUGAAUAAAAUUCUGUGAAGUUAAAAAAUCA